CUACGGGGGGCUGCAGUUACGAAAACUUUACAAUGCACGAAAGUGUGAUAGGGGGAUCCUAAGUGCCAUAGCUUAUGGUUAUGGCUGUGGAGAAGUGUAAAUUACUUUUCAAGAAAGGGGUGGGCAAUACCGGUGCCAGCAGCCGCGGUAAUCCCGGAGCCCCAAGUGGUGACCAGGUUUAUUGGGCCUAAAGCGCCCGUAGCCGGAUUAGUAAGUUCUCGGUGAAAUUGUCAAGCUUAACCUAACGAAUUGCCUUGAAUACUGCUAGUCUAGGGAUAGGGAGAGGUCAAGAGUAUGCCUGGGGGAGGGGUAAAAUCCUUUAAUCCUAGGUAGACUACCAAUGGCGAAGGCACUUGACUAGAACUAGUCCGACGGUGAGGGACGAAAGUUAGGGUAGCAAACGGGAUUAGAUACCCCCGUAGUC
rnacentral:rRNA from 1 species